rnacentral:lncRNA from 1 species
AUAUAACGACAUUGAAAUUGUCCAACUUACUAAAGUUUAUUUGUUACUAUUCCAUCCAGCUUGAUCAGAUGCUGGUGCUGCAGUCAGCAGUUGACUCAGACCAAGACAGUGUAUCACAAGGAUUCCUGCAAUUGCAGAACAAGGAGAGAGCUUACAGACAAAAACUGCAGGCCUACCAAGAGGCUCAGCAGAAACAGGCCCAGCUUGUUCAGAAGCUGCAGAUCAAGGUGACAGGAAACCAAACUCACAAUUGUUAGCUAAAAAGGGUCAUUUUGUUUAACUCUGAACCUUAUGUUUUAUAUCAGGUUCUUCAGUACAAGAAAAGGUGUGGGGAACUAGAAGAUCAAGUGCUGGAGAAGACCUCAGAGUCUGAGAAGAUGAGAUUAUUGCUGCAGGCCCACCUGGACUCAGCCCAGCUUCAGCAACAGACUGAGCAGGAUCUCAAUAUGGCUAUCCAGAAGAAGUCUGCCCAACUGGAGGAGGAGCAGAAGAGGUGUGCCGGCCUCAGCCAAGUGAACUGUAUGCUACGGGAACAACUGGAACAGGCAGGCACUGUCAAUCAGGGCUUAACAGAGAGCUUGUGGAAGGCCCGUGAAGACAUUGAAUUGUGUGAUACCCGUCUGCGCAGAGAGCAAGAGGUGAGAGAAAAAAAAAAAAAUGAAAUACGGGAGUCAGAAAGGCAAGAGGGGAAGCUCAAGUUUAUUCCUCUCAGCAAAGAGAUUGUGCAAUUAAACUCCCGU